rnacentral:rRNA from 1 species
UUGAUUAAUUACAAUUUUAUUCGCCAGGGAACUACGAGCGUCAGCUUAAAACCCAAAGGACUUGGCGGUGCCCUACACCUCCUAGAGGAGCCUGUUCUAUAAUCGAUGAUCCACGAUAUACCUCACCGUUUCUUGCCAAAACCGCCUAUAUACCGCCGUCUCCAACUUACCCUAUGAAGGAUUCACAGUAAGUUCAAAGAUCACCCAUCAGAACGUCAGGUCAAGGUGUAGCGAAUGAAACGGGAAGAAAUGGGGCACAUUUUCUAUUUUAGAUCACACGGACAAUCAGUAUGAAACCUGAUUAUGAAGGAGGAUUUAGCAGUAAAAAGAAAUCAGCAAGUUCUUUUUAAGUCGGACCUAGGGCGCGUACACACCGCCCGUCACCCUCUUCAACUCAUUUCACCCUAUUUAUAAUAAAAUAAUUGGAGAUAAGAAGAGGCAAGUCGUAACAUGGUAAGUAUACCGGAAGGUGUACUUGGAAC